UACGGAGGGUGCAAGCGUUGUCCGGAUUUAUUGGGUUUAAAGGGUGCGUAGGCGGCUAUCUAAGUCAGUGGUGAAAUCCUGCAGCUUAACUGUAGAACCGCCAUUGAUACUGGAUGGCUUGAGUACAGACGAGGUAGGCGGAAUUUAUGGUGUAGCGGUGAAAUGCAUAGAUACCAAUAAAGAACACCGAUUGCGAAGGCAGCUUACUAGGCUGUAACUGACGCUGAGGCACGAAAAGUGUGGGGAUCAAACAGG
rnacentral:rRNA from 1 species